rnacentral:rRNA from 1 species
UACGUAGGGUGCAAGCGUUUGUCCGGAAUUAUUGGGCGUAAAGAGCUCGUAGGCGGUUUGUCGCGUCUGCUGUGAAGUCCCGAGGCUCAACCUCGGGCCUGCAGUGGGUACGGGCAGACUAGAGUGCGGUAGGGGAGAAUGGAACUCCUGGUGUAGCGGUGGAAUGCGCAGAUAUCAGGAAGAACGACCGAUGGCGAAGGCAGUUCUCUGGGCCGUAACUGACACUGAGGAGCGGAAAGCGUGGGGAGCGAACAGG